rnacentral:tRNA from 1 species
GGGUCGUUAGCUCAGUUGGCAGAGCACCGCCCUUUUAAGGCGGCUGUCGCAGGUUCGAAUCCUGCACGACUCAC